rnacentral:rRNA from 1 species
CCUACGGGAGGCAGCAGUGGGGAAUCUUCCGCAAUGGGCGCAAGCCUGACGGAGCAACGCCGCGUGAGUGAAGAAGGUCUUCGGAUCGUAAAGCUCUGUUGAUGGGGACGAAUGUGCGUGAUGCGAAUAGUGUCAUGCAAUGACGGUACCUAUCGAGGAAGCCACGGCUAACUACGUGCCAGCAGCCGCGGUAAUACGUAGGUGGCGAGCGUUGUCCGGAAUCAUUGGGCGUAAAGGGAGCGCAGGCGGGCAUGUAAGUCUUUCUUAAAAGUUCGGGGCUCAACCCCGUGAUGGGAAAGAAACUACAUGUCUUGAGUACAGGAGAGGAAAGCGGAAUUCCCAGUGUAGCGGUGAAAUGCGUAGAUAUUGGGAGGAACACCAGUGGCGAAGGCGGCUUUCUGGACUGCAACUGACGCUGAGGCUCGAAAGCCAGGGGAGCGAACGGGAUUAGAUACCCGAGUAGUC